UGCAUAUCCAAUAAGCGGAGGAAAAGAAACUAACAAGGAUUCCCCUAGUAACUGCGAGUGAAGCGGGAAAAGCUCAAAUUUAAAAUCUGGGGGUCAAUUUGACCUUCCGAGUUGUAAUCUAGAGAAGUGUUAUCCGCGCUGGACCGUGUACAAGUCUCCUGGAACGGAGCGUCAUAGAGGGUGAGAAUCCCGUCUUUGAUACGGACUACCAGGGCUUUUGUGAUGCGCUCUCAAAGAGUCGAGUUGUUUGGGAAUGCAGCUCUAAAUGGGUGGUAAAUUCCAUCUAAAGCUAAAUAUUGGCGAGAGACCGAUAGCGAACAAGUACCGUGAGGGAAAGAUGAAAAGAACUUUGGAAAGAGAGUUAAACAGUACGUGAAAUUGUUGAAAGGGAAACGCUUGAAGUCAGUCGCAUUGGCCAGGGAUCAACCUUGCUUUUUUGCUUGGUGUACUUUCUGGUUUUAAUGGGUCAGCAUCAAUUUUGACUGGUGGAUAAAGAUUAGAGGAAUGUGGCAUCUUUGGAUGUGUUAUAGCCUUUGGUCAUAUACAUCGGUUUGGAUUGAGGAACUCAGCACGCCGCAAGGCCGGGUUAUUAACCACGUACGUGCUUAGGAUGCUGGCAUAAUG
rnacentral:rRNA from 1 species